UAGCGGGUUGGGAGGAAAACCUGGGAAGGCAGGAUGAAGGAGCUGGCGAACCUACGACGUUAAUAGCCCGCGUUCGGUGCUCGGCACUGCUUUUGGCUUCAUGGUGGGGUUACUCACUUGGGGCCUUUAGCUCACACUAGGCAGAGAAAUGCCCAUCCUUCUGGGGCCACUGUUUCUGACAGCUGCAUUCCCUACCACCCGCAAUCGGGGACCUACGCGCGACAAAAUGGCUGGCACCCAUCUUGCGGCAUGGUAGAAGGUGCGCAUGCGUCAGAUCCAGUAGCCGUUCUCUAUGCACUCCUAGACUCCUGCUAUACAUCCGACUUCGAUGACACCAUUCACAGCCAGCCGACCGUCUGCAUUCUAGAAAGCGGGAAUAAGAAAAACGAAAUUUUCUCUAAGAGUUAAAAACUUAUAGAAGCGAGGAAAGAGUAAUUGACAAGAUGUGGCUUCUUUGCACAGUUGUAACAUCACAAUUUCGUAAUGCGUUAUAGUUUACAAGAGUCUUGAGUAUUGGAUUUAUUAGGAUAGCCUCAGUUUAACCAUUACAUCUGAUCUGCCUGUGUGAAUCUUUUGGGGAAAUUUGGAUGUUCGUGUAUUCCUACUGAACCCAGCAAUUUCAUUUUAAUUAGGCCAACUCAACAGAAGAGAGAUUUUUGAGGCAAGAACCCUGUUUCAUCAUUUAGAAUUAACCUCUCUGUGCCAAGAACUGUUUUAGGAUUAGGGAAAUGAUGGCAAAGCAGACAAAAAUUCCUCCAACUUGAUUUGGCAUCAGGACCAAACCACAAGUAUGUGUCAAGGAGUAAGGAGUCCUAAAGAGGUACGAAAUAAGCUAAGGGAGAAGGACGGGGGAUAUGAAUAACAAUGAUGUGACCAGUUUUUAACAAGAGAUACUUGAGGAAAAAGCAACCAAGCACAAAUGGGUAGGGGAGAAGAGCUGGCAAAAGAACAAGUGCUGAUUCCCUAACCCAGGACUGUUAACGUUUUAGAGGAAGAACAAGGAAGCCACUGUGACUAGAAGAUACUGAGAAAGCCACUAAGACAAGAGGCAGAAGAGGUCAGAAGCAAAGAGGGCACGUGUAGGGAAUUGAAAGCCACUGUUUCUUUUUUGUUUCUUUUGAGGGCUGUGCUGCCUAUCGAACAGCCCGGAAAUCAUCACAUGGGAAAGCAUAUAGGACACUUAACAGAAACCUUGAACAGUUUUACAAGACAGUCUUUCGGACUGGGAAGACCACAAAUGACCCAGAGAACAUUAUAUGUCUUGUUUAUCAUCCAGUAUCUAAACGUGGCAUUCCAACAUUUAUGUCUACUGUAGUGGCUGUUCCUGGCUGUCAACGUGACUACAUCUGGAAUGAACUACAUCCAGAAUUGGAAGGCUCACCUGUGAUCCUCAUCUUGAGACUGGGAGAUAGAAGUUUCUGACCUGGAUCUUGGCAUGGAGAUCUUUUUUUUUUUUUUUUUUUGG
ensembl:lncRNA